rnacentral:rRNA from 1 species
UAAACGACUCUCGGCAACGGAUAUCUCGGCUCUCGCAUCGAUGAAGAACGUAGCGAAAUGCGAUACUUGGUGUGAAUUGCAGAAUCCCGUGAACCAUCGAGUCUUUGAACGCAAGUUGCGCCCGAAACCAUUAGGUCGAGGGCACGUCUGCCUGGGCGU